rnacentral:rRNA from 1 species
ACAGAGGUGGCAAGCGUUGUUCGGAAUUACUGGGCGUAAAGGGCGCGUAGGCGGCCUACUAAGUCAGACGUGAAAUCCCCCGGCUUAACCUGGGAACUGCGUCUGAUACUGGAAGGCUUGAGUAUGGGAGAGGGAUGUAGAAUUCCAGGUGUAGCGGUGAAAUGCGUAGAUAUCGGGAGGAACAUCAGUGGCGAAGGCGGCCCUCUGGUCCAGUACUGACACUCAAGUGCGAAAGCGUGGGGAGCAAACAGGA